rnacentral:lncRNA from 1 species
CUAAAAAAAUAUAAGGCUGGUAAUGAUGUGACGUGCUGAUAUUUUGUGGAACCUCCUAGAGGAAUCAUCACUUUUCUGCUUGUUGAUGCUAGUGAAAUUUUAUUUUUUAGAUGAUUUUCUACUUUUUUUUUUCCUUUUCUUGUACAAAAAAUAAAAUAUCAGGACAAUUUUUUUAAGAGAUUAAUUACUAUACACUGUCAGUGUAAAA